rnacentral:rRNA from 1 species
UCGAGCGAAUGGAUUAAGAGCUUGCUCUUAUGAAGUUAGCGGCGGACGGGUGAGUAACACGUGGGUAACCUGCCCAUAAGACUGGGAUAACUCCGGGAAACCGGGGCUAAUACCGGAUAACAUUUUGAACCGCAUGGUUCGAAAUUGAAAGGCGGCUUCGGCUGUCACUUAUGGAUGGACCCGCGUCGCAUUAGCUAGUUGGUGAGGUAACGGCUCACCAAGGCAACGAUGCGUAGCCGACCUGAGAGGGUGAUCGGCCACACUGGGACUGAGACACGGCCCAGACUCCUACGGGAGGCAGCAGUAGGGAAUCUUCCGCAAUGGACGAAAGUCUGACGGAGCAACGCCGCGUGAGUGAUGAAGGCUUUCGGGUCGUAAAACUCUGUUGUUAGGGAAGAACAAGUGCUAGUUGAAUAAGCUGGCACCUUGACGGUACCUAACCAGAAAGCCACGGCUAACUACGUGCCAGCAGCCGCGGUAAUACGUAGGUGGCAAGCGUUAUCCGGAAUUAUUGGGCGUAAAGCGCGCGCAGGUGGUUUCUUAAGUCUGAUGUGAAAGCCCACGGCUCAACCGUGGAGGGUCAUUGGAAACUGGGAGACUUGAGUGCAGAAGAGGAAAGUGGAAUUCCAUGUGUAGCGGUGAAAUGCGUAGAGAUAUGGAGGAACACCAGUGGCGAAGGCGACUUUCUGGUCUGUAACUGACACUGAGGCGCGAAAGCGUGGGGGAGCAAACAGGAUUAGAUACCCUGGG